rnacentral:lncRNA from 1 species
CUUCUAAAGAUUAAAAAAACCCCUACGAUUAAAAACCUCAGGUCCCUCAGGCAAUCAUACCAGAUAUUGAAACAAAGCAAUAACAUAAGGACUGCAGUAUUCAUUUUAUUUUUAUAUUAUUUAUUUAUUCUUCCUUAGUUUCUUGAGAUUAUCAUCCGCUGAGGGUGGAAGGGGAGUGAGCAGACACACUCAGGAGGUGUCUUGAGAUUAUCAUCCGCUGAGGGUGGAGCUGAGGGUGGAAGGGGAGUGAGCAGACACUCGGGAGGUGUCUUGAGAUUAUCAUCCGCUGAGGGUAGAGCUGAGGGUGGAAGGGGAGUGAGCAGACACUCGGGAGGUGUCUUGAGAUUAUCAUCCGCUGAGGGUGGAAGGGGAUAGAGCACACACUCGGAAGGUGUCUUGAGAUUAUCAUCCGCUGAGGGUGGAAGGGGAUAGAGCACACACUCGGAAGGUGUCUUGAGGCUCAGGGAGUUAUCAAUUAUAGAAUGUUGUUGAGUUGGAGGAGGUGGCUGGUGGCCCAUCCUGUUUUUUAAAGUUUCAGCUGUGAGGUA